ACAACAACGGUCCGUCAGGUGUCACAGGUGUGUCGUCAUCCCCGCUGCCGCUGACGCCCACAGCCAAUGGGGUUGCACCUAAGGAUGGCUCCACCCCUCCAGGCGUCGAGCCGUCUGCAGACGGCGUCCCCGCCGACCACCUGAUGGAGGACGGAGAGGAUGGAGAGGAGGCGGUCACCACGGAGACCAUCAGUAAAGAGGAGGCAGCGGAGAGGCUGCUGGAGACGGAGAAGAUCAUCGCAGAGCUGAAUGAGACGUGGGAGGAGAAGUUGAGGAAGACGGAGUCUAUCCGUCUGGA